GUGUUUGACAUCAGUAGGUACUUUGUCCUUUUUCUUCCCAUGUCUUCUAUUUCCCCAUACAUACUUGCAUCCGCAUUUAUUUAAUGUCCUCUUUCACUUAUCAGGUCACGUAAGAACUUAAUUAUUGCCCUCUUGUUUUUGACACUGGUGAUCAAACCCAGGGGCUCUCUACCACUGUAUUACAUCCUCAUCCCCUUUAAAAAAAAUUUUUUUGAAGGCAAGGUCUCACAAAGCAGUUCAGGUGGAACUUGAACUUGCAAUCCUUCUGCCUCAGCCUCCCAAGAUGCUGGGAUUAUAGGUAGAUUCUUGUUCACUCGAAGUUGGUAAGACUCUAGAGUUGUUCAAGCUUCAUGUGCCACCCAAGUUGAAGGUGAUGUGAGGGUUCAGAAAGUAGGAAUCCAGAGGAAGAGACACAAGUGAGGCUCUUGGAGAAACUGAGCAGUGUUCAGCAACUGAAAGUACUGGCGAUUGAAAAAGAAAUAAAAUAUGGGAAAGAAUCUUCCUGUGCUUCCAGGAGGCCUGGCCUGGAAAGGCCCUGGGAGGGUGUGGUUGGCCUGAGGAAUAUUGAGAAGUGUAUUUUCCUUCCUUUCAAGGAAAUUUUCCUCUUAAAAAACAAACAGCAAUUUCUAAACUUAGGAAUUGAACAAAAGAAAUAUAUUUUCUCUAGGAGCAAAAUUUGCACUAUUGGAAAAGAAAUCGAAUAUGGGAAAGAAUCUUCCCGUAGUUGCCUCAGUAAUGAUUUUCUUUAGUUCACAUAAAGACACAUUUAGUGAAUCCAUUCAGGCUGGCUCAGGUUACGAUGACUGAAACAUAUUAAGCAUUUUUGGGGGGUGGGAAGAGAGGCAGAGAGAGGAGAGGAGGGCGAAGGAGAAAGAAAUAGCUCCAAAUUAGGCACUAGCCUGUUGGGGAUUUGAAAGCUCAUCAAUAAAAUAAAAACUUUUAAAAAACAGCUUUGUGAUGGUCAGCUUUAAAUAUUAAUUAGCCUUUGUUAUUUUCCCUUAGCAAGCUGAGAUUAGUAUUUGUAUUUUAUAUAUGGUUUGGAGGACUGUCACAUUUAAAGGAAUGUCUUGAAGGAUGUUGCUUUGUUUUUUAUUUUGUUUUGCUUUUUUGCAGUAUUGAAAGUAGAAUCCAGUAACUUGCACAUACUAAGCAAGUACUCUACCACUGAGCUCCCCUCCAGACUCUGAAAGGCCUGCUUCUGCUGAGAAAAUCUUUCAUUCUCAACUCCAGAUGCCAGAGUUAAAGCCUCACAGGUUGACAGAGAUGAUCCCUUGGGUUUCCAGAAUUUGGCAGAACAGCUGACGCACUGAUCCUGUCAAUCUCUACUCUCACAGUGAAUCAUUUACAUCUGAGAAGCCCUUGCCUUGACCUUAUAAAAUCAGUAUGUUUCAAUAAUUCUGAAUCAUCUCAAAAAUGGAAUAAUUAGCUUUUAAAUUAAAAAAUCCAAAUAAACAAGUGGUUAGAGAGCACAUCAAAAGUAUUUAAAUAAUAAGUCCUAGCCAAGAAGAUGUAAUCUAUUAUUGUCUUCCCUUGGAUCAAAGAAUACCUACUACCAGAAUGAAGGACUGUGUCCCAAAAGCAGAUUAAAGUUUUUAUCUUCUGCAGACUGAAAAUUGCUGAUAACUUCUAAAAGACAAGAAACAAAACCACAGCUGUUAAACGUCCUGUUGUUACAUGGUGACCAACAAUGCACAUCUGCACACCACGUACAGUCCUUGCUGGUGUUGCAGUUCAUCUGCCCCUCUUACUGCACCUCCUCUACUCUCUGAGCCUGCUACAGUCCUUCAGUUCACUUAGCAAUCUGUAGGAGUCUUGUCGCAAACACCAAAUACUUAUUAAGAGUGGAGGAACCAUUGCUAUUUAUAUGGUGUGUAGUGGGGGCUUCAAUUAUCAUCCCUCCCCUGUAUCCAUUCUCCCAUUUUGUGAACAAUAACAAAAUCCCCAAUAGUUUUCUGAAUUUCCAUGCCUUCCUUGUAGUUAGAUGUGAACACUGAUGACUUUCUGGCCAAUGGCUUGUGAACAGAUGUGAUGAUGAGUCCACUCACCAAGUUGUGUCUGUGAAACAAAGGGGGGUACCUCUUUGUCCCUUCUCUUUCCAUGGGAAAAGAAGCUUGGAAGGAGGGAGUCCCCUAGGGAAACCAAGCAGCAAAAUCAAGAAAAUCUGGAUUUCUGACUCCUUUACCCAGGGGCAGAAGUUCCCAGAUGUUCGCAUUUCACAGUGCAGAGUCUGUAAUGUAAUUUUUCUCAUUGUUUUUGGGUCAAAGUAAUGCAUAAAAAUUCUGUUUUUUAAGUAGUUGUAUUUAAACAAUUUAAUAUGUAUUUCUACCAUAAUGACUUAGAAGCCAUUUAAAAAUUAAUACAAAUAAAUUAAGAAAAAAAAUACUGAUUUCCAUUUUUAAGUAGCCAUAUCUCUUACAUGUAGGAGUAAGGUGUAUGCACUUGUUG
ensembl:lncRNA